AGGCAUGGAAACUGAGCCUAGCUAAGAUAAGGCGUUACACAGCUUCGUUUCAUGGGAUCAUCAUAUUCCAUCCCAUGCACAGCAUUGAGAAAGGGCAAGUCUCUGGAACCGGUUCUGUUGGACAGCAAGCUCCGGGUUUCACAUGACAGGAAAGACACAUGCACACACGGCAGGAAAAACAUGUUUUAUUGGCCUACCUUAAUACACAAGUAUUUAACUUCACAUUGUUCUAAUUUGGAUAUUUGUAAUAAAGUAAUUUGAAUAUUAAUGUCUAA